UACGGGGGGAGCAAGCGUUGUUCGGAUUUACUGGGCGUAAAGGGCGCGUAGGCGGCCAGCACAAGUCAGUUGUGAAAUCUCCGAGCUUAACUCGGAAAGGUCAACUGAUACUGUGCGGCUAGAGUGCGGAAGGGGCAACUGGAAUUCUUGGUGUAGCGGUGAAAUGCGUAGAUAUCAAGAGGAACACCUGCGGCGAAGGCGGGUUGCUGGGCCGACACUGACGCUGAGGCGCGAAAGCGUGGGGAGCAAACGGG
rnacentral:rRNA from 1 species